UACGAGGGGGGCUAGCGUUGUUCAGAAUUACUGGGCGUAAAGGGCGCGUAGGCGGUUGUUCAAGUCAGAUGUGAAAGCCCUAGGCUUAACCUAGGAGGUGCAUUUUGAUACUGAUCGACUUGAGAUCGAGAGAGGAGAGUGGAAUUUGCGAGUGUAGAGGUGAAAAUUCGUAGAUAUUCGCAAGAACACCGGUGGCGAAGGCGACUCUCUGGCUCGAUACUGACGCUAAGGCGCGAAAAGCGUGGGGAGCAAACAGG
rnacentral:rRNA from 1 species